GCUGGGGUGGGUUUCUGAGAUGCUGGUGAGAGUCGUGGAGCUGAGACCGGUACCGUGCUGGGUUUCUGAGGGGCAGGUGUAGCGUCUGGAGCUGAGACAGGUUCUGUAACGAUUUUCUGUGGUGCAGGUGUAGUGUCUGCAGCUGAAACAGGUACUGGGGUGGGUUUCUGAGGUGUAGGUAUAGUGUCUGCAGCUGAAACAGGUACUGGGGUGGGUUUCUGAGGGGCAGGUGUAGCGUCUGGAGCUGAGACAGGUUCUGUAACGAUUUUCUGAGGUGCAGGUGUAGUGUCUGCAGCUGAAACAGGUACUGUGGUGGGUUUCUGAGGGGCAGGUGUAGUGUCUGCGCCUAUAACAUUUACUGUGGUGGGUCUCUGAGAUGCAGGUGUAGUGUCUGGAGCUGAAACAGGUACUGUGGUGGGUUUCUGAGGUGCAGGUGUAGCGCCUGCAGCUGGAACGUUGACUGUGGUGGAAUGCUGAGGUGUAGGUGUAGCGUCUGCAGCUGGAACAGGUACUGUGGUGGGUCUCUGAGAUGCAGGUGUAGUGUCUGGAGCUGAAACAGGUACUGUGGCGGGUUUCUGAGGUGGUGCAGGUGUAGCGACUGUGGCUGGAACAGGUACUGUGGUGGGUUUCUGAGGUGCAGGUGUAGCAUCUGGAGCUGGAACAGGUACUGGGGUGGGUUUUUGAGGUGCAGGUGUAGCGUCUGCAGCUGGAACAUUUACUGUGGUGGGUCUCUGAGAUGCAGGUGUAGCAUCUAUAGCUGAAACAAGUACUGUGGUGGGUUUCUG